rnacentral:rRNA from 1 species
UACAGAGGGUGCAAGCGUUAAUCGGAAUUACUGGGCGUAAAGCGCGUGUAGGCGGCCCGGUAAGUCCGCUGUGAAAGUCCAGGCUCAACCCUGGGAUGCCGGUGGAUACUGUCGGGCUCGAGUCCGGAAGAGGCGAGUGGAAUUCCUGGUGUAGCGGUGAAAUGCGCAGAUAUCAGGAGGAACACCGGUGGCGAAGGCGGGUCUC